AAGAGGAAGAACUCACCCUUUUGUGCAUGUCUUCGACCCCAAACUAAAUGAGAUUGAGGAAGCUACUUGUAAUCGGCACAUAAUCAGUGUACUUUACCUAUAAUGAGCCUAUUGCAUUGUCAAUAAUUCACCUUCUUAGAGAGGCUUUAUUCUUCUUUAGUUUA